GAUGAACGCUGGCGGCGUGCCUAAUACAUGCAAGUCGAGCGAACAAAUGAAGAGCUUGCUCCUCUUACGUUAGCGGCGGACGGGUGAGUAACACGUGGAUAACCUACCUAUUAGACUGGGAUAACUUCGAGAAACCGGAGCUAAUACCGGAUAAUAUAUUAAACCGCAUGAUUCUAUAUUGAAAGACGGUUUUGCUUUCACUUAUAGAUUGAUCCGCGGCGCAUUAGCUAGUUGGUAAGGUAACGGCUUACCAAGGCGACGAUGCGUAGCCGACCUGAGAGGGUGAUCGGCCACACUGGGACUGAGACACGGCCCAGACUCCUACGGGAGGCAGCAGUAGGGAAUCUUCCGCAAUGGGCGAAAGUCUGACGGAGCAACGCCGCGUGAGCGAAGAAGGCCUUCGGAUCGUAAAGCUCUGUUAUUAGGGAAGAACAAGUAUCUCAGUAACUGGCGUUGCCUUGACGGUACCUAAUGAGAAAGCCACGGCUAACUACGUG
rnacentral:rRNA from 1 species